UGCCAGAUCGUCAACCCACUGGGCAAGGACAGGGACCGAACCCGCAACCUCAUGGUUCCUAGUCGGAUUCGUUAACCACUGCACCACGACGGGAACUCCUUCAAGUAAUAGAUUUAAAAACAUGUUAGAGCAAAUAAUCUCUAUGAUAAUGUUUUUCUCACAGGCAUUCUGAAAACUGUAUCAGAACACAAACUUUGAGACCAGAUUAUCUGGAUUUAAAUCCAAAUUCUGCCAUUUCCUUAGCUGUGCGUCUCUGCCUCGAUUUCCUCCUAGGUGAGGUGAGGAUCAUAAUAGUUUGCCUCAUGGUUUGCCAUGUAAUACACAUGCGAUACAUAUUUAACACAUGCAACAUACUUAGGUACCUGGCACACAGUAAGCCUCCAAUAAAUGUUGUGAUUAUAGAAGAGAUGGGAUUACUUAUGUGUGAGUACUGGGAAAAUGUAAUUAAUAAUGCAACUCUGUGUUGCAGUGGGAAAGCUGGGCACAUUUCUGAUAGCAUAGGUAGGGCUCAUGUGAACAUCACUGCCCCAUCAUGAUGGGAAUGGCCCCUGGGGUGGGAGGAGUCUGAGAACACUGUUCCAGGGUGCUGUUAGUUGAACAAGCACGUCUAGAAAGAAGAAAACAGGUAGAGGAAAACCUUUGCUGUUCGUUUUUUACAGUUCUAAAGCAAGUGCCAUGAGCAUUGAGGCCAACAGAAACAGGAAAAACUCACUUCCAAAUAAGGAACCUGGGUUUGCUGGCUGGAGCACCAAAAUUCCACCAUCCUGGACCCUUAGCCAGUUCUUCCUUCUGUGGUUCCUACCUGUGUUAAGCUGAGACCAGAUAAGUAGCAGGAGCAGAUGGGAAUUUCUGACACAUCAAUUCCAAUGCUCUGUUGGAUUCUUUCAAGCACUGCCACUGCCGCCACCACCAAGAGUUUGACGCGAUGGUGGUAUAGUCAUGUUGAUGGCUAGAAACCCAAAGGCCGAGAGCUGGCAGCAGAGGACAGGGAUGCAGGAGUCCUGAGCUGGGACACCAGGGUCAUUCAGCCCACAUGUCUCUGAGUUCCUAGAAGAGGCAGCAGCAGCCAUGGUUGAGGUAAGCAAGCCAACCUGAGACCUUUGAAGACCCUGAAGAGGAACUCAACAUCGCAUCACAGUCCAGACCUUGCGGAACCCAUGGAAAACUAGACACCCAGCUGAAGGUACCAGCACCACACCACUCUCCUGGCUGCUUGGUUACAGAUUUCCAUCCAUUGUUUUUUUUUUUUUUUCUGUUUGUUUUGUUUUUCAUUUUUUUAGGGCC